ensembl:snoRNA
CUUCCCUUUCUUGGCAGGGACCGGGCGUGUGGUCCCGGGUUGCAUAACGUACAGAGGCAGAGGGAAAGGGCCCUGGGUUGCUUGGCAUCAUGUCUUCAGUACCGGCAGCUUCAGGCACCAGGACAAAG